AAAUAAUGAGAACCUGAGUUGACCGAUUUUACAUUAUGAUAUUUUACGUUGUCUACCCAAAGGUAGGGAGAGUGGAUAUCGACCAUUGAAAAAAUAUCACGAUAUUCAUCUCUUGAGUACAAUAAUUUGGACUAGUCUGGCCAAAGACCUGUGUAUAAUUGUAGCUUAAUUUAAGUAGAUAUAUUCGACACCUUAAGCAUGAAAACGCUUUAAACGGUGAAGCAAUUUUCGAUUCAGAAUGACCGGUGCGAACAUUUCAUGAAAACGAAAGUAGAUCUUUUCUGCGUCUUCAUUAUUAAAUGCUGCCCAGUGUUUGCAUCUACAUCGUCAGUAUAAUGGAUUUUAUUCUGAUUGUUGUCGUCGUGUAAGUUCGACAUCUUUCGGGCAAAUUCGGCACCCUGAUGAAUUUUAAAAAUAUACAAGUUGAACAUUAAUCAUUUUUUGUAGAACUAAAUUAAAAACAGCUAAUUCCGCAACAGACAUAACACAUGGUUUUACUCUGACGAGUAGGCUCUAAUUUUUCAGAUUUCAUAACUCGAGCUAUAAAAAGUAAAACAAAAAAUAAUCUUUAUUGUUCAGGGGAUUAUACAAACACCAGCUAAUUGUUUCCAGGGAUUUUUUUAAGGCCCAUCCCAAUUGCAAAAAUGUGCUUAUUUUCCCAAUUUUGAGGUUUAAAUUUCCCAAAAAUCUGCCAAAAAAUAACAAUUUUGCGGUUAUCUCAAUUAUCAGGUUUCCGAUUUUUCGUUUUGAUUCUUGUUCCUCAUUUUUAAUGGAGUUAGCGCUGUUCCUGUUUUAAUUGAAUAACCGCUCAAUUACCGAUUCGAUUAAAUCUUGCGAACUGUUCUAUAUUCCGUAUACAUGACCCCGCGAUCACAUUUAAUCAAGCUCGCCAAUUUUCCCGGAAAUGAAAAUAUAUCGAGUAAUAAAUAGUAAAUAUCAUACAAAUAAAGUCAUAAAAAAGUAUGCUGCUGACAACAAAAAAGCAGUCAAGCUUCAGCUUUGUCAAUAAAACAAGUGCUGAGAAACAGGCCACCGCAAUAAAGUCUCAGGAUUCGGUAAGGUCUACAAGAAGUUGAAUGUGUCACCAGGACAACACACUUUAACACUUGCAGCAUUGAAAGACAAUCAGCAUACAAAGCGUAGACAGUACCGAAGUACAGUGGAAGCCAAACAGUUGAGGAGGCAAAAUAAAGAUAAAAGGACAAAAUCACUAGCAAUGUUUGGCGGUACGAGAGGGACCAACCUAGCAAUCAGGCAUUGAUUUAGAAGAAAAUGUUGAUAUGGAAGCUAUUCCCGCUCCGAUGUAUCAGCCAUGUCCUGAAGAUGACCCAAUUAUGGCUGACGAUUCAAUCUGUAGGGUUGUCUUUGACCUUGAAACAACUGGUCUGGAGAGAGAUUCACAUAUAACAGAACUUGCAGCUGAAACUGUAUAUUCCACAAACAACAGUACAGAUACCUUUCAUCGUUUCAUUUUUACCAAGAAACCUAUUUUUAACCAGGCUUCCAAGAUAACUGGCAUAACAGUGAAAGGCAGACAAUUGUUUAAAAAUGCGGCUCUCGUCAACAAUUCUGUUUCUGUAUCAAGAGCUUUAACUUCAUUCCUUGAUUUUUUUAAACAAAAACAAAAGAUUAUUGUACCCCCCGACAACAAAGUUGUAAGGGGGGGGGGGUAUACUGGUUUCAGGUUGUCUGUCUGUCUGUCCGUCUGGCCGUCUGUCCGUAGACGCAAUCUUGUGCGCACCAUCUCUCCUUAUCCCCUUGACAGAAUUUAAUGAAACUUCACACAAGUGAUCAGUACCAACAGUAGUUGUGCAUGGGGCAUGUUAGGUUCUUUUAGAAAAAAAAGUUGCAGAGUUAUGGGACUUUGUUUUUUUGUUACUAUACUAUAUACAUAGACACAAUCUUGUGCGCACCAUCUCUCCUCAUCCCCUUGACAGAAUUUAAUGAAACUUCACACAAGUGAUCAGUACCAACAGUAGUUGUGCAUGGGGCAUGUUAGGUUCUUUUAGAAAAAAAAAUUGCAGAGUUAUGGGACUUUGUUUUUUUGUUACUAUACUAUAUACAUAGACACAAUCUUGUGCGCACCAUCUCUCCUCAUCCCCUUGACACAGUUUAAUGAAACUUCACACAAGUGGUCAGUAACAACAGUAGUUGUGCAUGGGAUAUGUUAGGUUCUUUCAGAAAAAAAUUUGCAGAGUUAUGGGACUUUGUUUUUUUGUUACUUUACUAUAUACAUAGACACAAUCUUGUGCGCACCAUCUCUCCUCAUCCCCUUGACACAAUUUAAUGAAACUUCACACAAGUGAUCAGUAACAACAGUAGUUGUGCAUGGGGUAUGUUAGGUUCUUUCAGCGACAAAAAUUGCAGAGUUAUGGGACUUUGUUUCUUGUUAACAUACUAUGUACAUACAGUCUGCAUAUGCAAUCUUGUGUGUGCCUAAUCUACCAAACCCUUACACACAAUUUAAUGAAACUUCACACAAGUGAUCAGUACCAACCCUAGUUGUGCAUGGUGCAUGUUACAUUCUUUUAGAUAAAUAUUCUGCAUAGUUAUGGGACUUUGUUUUUUGUUACUAUACUGUAUACAUACAGUCCACAUAAUUAUGCAAUCUUGUGUGCGUCAAAUUGCAAUGUACUGUGUCAGUGCAUGCGGGGGGUACAUUCAUCACCUUUAGUGAUAGCUCUAGUUCUUGUUGGUCGCAAUAUAAAAACAUUUGAUAGCCUUGUUCUUGUUAAUGCUCUGGAAAAUGUUAACAUGAUGGAAGAUUUUCGAAAUAUAGUCAUUGGAUUUGAGGACACACGGAAACUGUUCAUGAUUAAUAAUCCAGAGCUGAUAACCUACUUGCAGGAAAAUUCAGUUGGCCAGCUGCUUGGCCAAGAAUAUCAAGCACACAGUGCAUCUGAGGAUGUGAAAGCGUUGAAGGCUUUGUAUACAACUGUAGAUGUUGGGAAACAUGUACAUGCAAAAUGUCUAUUUUCUGUUGCAUAUUCUAUCCUCGGCCUUAAUUAUUCACAAAGAGUCCGGAGAAAUUUACCCUCACUUCAAAGAAUGAUUGACAUGAAAGUGUUAACACAAUCUAUGGCAAGAAGAGUAACCGGAAGUGGAUUGGUUUUUAGACAUAUUGAAAUAGUAUUCCGUAGAAGUGGAAAACAAGGGAUUACCAAUCUCUUUUCAGAAACAGUAAAUGGAAAAGUUAGAGUAACUAAAUGUUCUAAAAUUGUCCAGUCAGUGUGUGUUCUUUUCUAGCAACUAAUUUGUAUACAGGCUUUCCAGCAAUAUAUUUUAUAAAAGGAGAAAAGUAGGAAUAAAAUUCUUAAAAUACUAGGAGAAAAAACUAGGAAACAAAGUGCUCAAGGUGAGCUAUUGUGAUCAGUCAAUGUCCGUCGUCCGUCAGACCACUGAUCAUAUUUUGACCAAACUUCACAGAAAUGAUCCUUGGGUGGUCCUCUUUCAAAAUUGUUCAGGUCCAUUGCACCACUAGGAGAGAAGUUUAAAAAUCUUCUUUGUCUGAAACAGCAAGGCCUUGUUCUUUGAUAUUUAGUCUGUAGCAUUGUCUAGUGAUCCUCUAUCAACAUUGUACAUAUUAUGCCCCUGGGGUGAAAAGAAGCCCUGGGCACACGGAGGUCACAGCUUUUACAUGCAAUAGAAAGAGUAUGGGCUCACGAGAAUAAUUUGGUUAUUUCCAACUUCAAGAAAUAACCUGAUUAUUUGAGUGAGUCCUACUCUGUUUUGUAUCAUGGUCCUCCAAUAAGAACAACGAUUUUUUAGCUCGACUAUUCGAAGAAUAAGUAGAGCUAUCCUACUCACCACGGCGUCAGUGUCGGCGUCGGCGUCACACCUUGGUUAAGUUUUUCGUACCAGUCCACAUUUUGACAAAGUCUUUUGAGAUAAAGCUUUGAAACUUUCAACACUUGUUUACCAUCAUCAUGGCCAGUUAUAGGCAAGAGAACAUAACUCCAUCAAGGAUUUUGGCUGAAUUAUGGCCCCUUUUGACUUAGAAAUCAUGAUUAAGUUUUUCGUACCAGUUCAUAUUUUGACAAAGUCUUUAAAGAUAAAGCUUUGAAACUUUCAACACUUGUUUACCAUCACCAUGGCCAGUUAUAGGCAAGAGUACAUAACUCCAUCAGGGAUUUUGGCUGUAUUAUGGCCCCUUUUGACUUAGAAAUCUUGGUUAAGUUUUUCGUACCAGUUCAUAUUUAGACAAAGUCUUUUGAGAUAAAGCUUUGAAACUUUCAACACUUGUUUACCAUCACCAUGACCAGUUAUAGGCAAGAGCACAUAACUCCAUCAAGGAUUUUGGCUGAAUUAUGGCCCUUUUUGACUUAGAAAUCUGGGUUAAUAUUUCGUACCAGUUCAUAUUUUGACAAAGUCUUUUGAGAUAAAGCUUUGAAACUUUCAACACUUGUUUACCAUCACCAUGUCCAGUUAUAGGCAAGAGUACAUAACUCCAUCAAAGAUUUUGGCUGAAUUAUGGCCCCUUUUGACUUAGAAAUCUUGGUUAAGUUUUUCGUACCAGUUCAUAUUUUUUGUAAAGUGUUUGACACAUGGCUUUGAAACUUUUAUCACUUGUUUAGUAUAACAGUCUUUAUCUGUAGGAAAGAGAACAUAACUCUGUCGUCUAUUUUGGCUGAAUUAUGGUCCUUUUUGGACUUUGAAAUUGGUUCUGUUUUCAUACAAGUCCAUGUUUUGUCAAAACUAUUUGACAUAUGGCUUUUAAACUUUGAACACUUGUUUAUCAUUAUGAUUUCCAUCUGUAGGCAAGAGUACAUAACUAUUUUGACUGAAUUAUGGCCCUUUUUGGACUUUGAAAUUGGCUCAUAUAUUGCCAUUUAGUGCAAGACUUAUCGAAAUCAAAGUAAUACAGGAACAUUGUUUGUCUAAUCUAUUUAUUUCUUUUGUCUGAAUAUCCAUGGAAAUAUUUUGACCCCAUUCUUCAAUCAAUUCUUCGAAUAGUCGAGCGCGCUGUCAUCAGAAGCUCUUGUUUAUUGACAAGUCAAACCUGCUCAUUCAUCGUUUUUAUUAUAAUUUUAACGUCUGGUUCUACUCUGGCUCCUAAUGAUUGACAGUCAGUUUACAUAAUCACGUGACAUCUUGUGCUAUGGGAACGUCCUGUUGAACUAGUUUUUGUCGCAUUUAUGCACAUUUGAGUACUAGAUUUGUAGAUGUUCUUACAUGUGUGCACCAGUUUUAUGAUUUUGACACUGUACUACAAUUUCAUUAUUAUCUUAAGUUUGACUGAGGCAAUCAGGGUAGAUAGCUAUGGACUGAUUUUGUGUCAAAUUACCUCCCUUUGUUUCAAAUCAAAAUGGAAGCUGUUACAAGAAAAUGUUUAUCCUCAUUCCUGAUGAUAUUUAAUGUGUAUGCCUAUGUGCUCUAUGUCAAAACUUGAUCAUAUCAUUUUGAGUAAUGGUACACAGGUGAGCGAUAUAGGGCCAUCAUGGCCCUCUUGUUAAAGUUUUGCAUGUAAGGGUAUAUCUGUAUUAUACAGAAGAAAUAUGGCUUUGAAAUCUUUGGUGAAUGAUUCUAGGUCAUUGACUACACUAAACUGAUCUUGCCUACCUAGCGGGGAAAGUAUACAUUUAUCCGAGCACGCGUCGGGGAUAGAUAUUCCUGUCUUUCCCUAGGGAAAAACCUUGUCUAAAAUAGCGUGCAUUAAGGUGACGUCACAUAGUACUGGUACCAUUGUGACGUCAUAAACUUUAUAAAUAAUGUCAGGAAAUACCCAAACCUAUUUGUCUCCACGAUCUAUUUUGAACAUGAUAGGCAAGAAAAAUGAUCUAACAUGUCUGCCUGUGUAAGACAGCUGUUUUCCCUACCCUCGGGACAGCAUGGAUAAAAAACCUCCCUAACGCUCGGUUUUCCAUUCCACACUGUCCCUCGGGUAGGGAAAACCCCGUCUUACACGGGCAGGCAUGUAAUCAAGUCCCAUAACUUUAUCAUGUAUUUUGGCUGAAUUAUGUCGCUUUUGGACUUAGAAAAUCUGUUAAAGUUUUGUGUGCAUUGAAACUUCACACACCUCCUUCGGGUCAAUAACCUAGGUCACACACCAAGUCCCAUAACUCUGGCUUGCAUUUUAACAGAAUUUUGCGUCUUUUUGUACUUAGAAAAUCCAUGUUAAAGUUUUCAUGCAAGGGCAUGUCUCCAUAACUACUGAAGAUAUUGCAUUGAAACUUGACACACCUAUGUGGGGGUCAGUAAUUCUUGGAUUUUUAGCAAAAUUGGUUCUGAGUAGUCAAGCGUGCUGUUUUAUGGAUAGCUCUUUUUAGAGUAAAGUGAGAAUUGAGGAGCGCACAGUCUUAUGGACAGCUCUUGCUUUAUUUUGAUGAUGACCAGAUAAUGUACAGUCAAAUACUUGACCAUAAGGGCUAAUCAUUGAAUAAAAGCUUUUAUUUAUAUAUAGUUUGCAAUUUUUCUUGCAUCUAGAUCAAACUUGGUUUGGAAUUUAUACCAAAGUCAUUCUUCAGUUGGGUCAUGUAGGGUUAAUAUUGUCAAAACUUUGAAAUAGAGAGCAUUGUAUGUAUAGAGAGUUUAAAUGAAGCAUGUGUUAAGUUUUGUGUAUCGGAUAUUUUAUCAGUUUCUAUUGUUUUCUACAGAGUUGCUUGCAAAUCUGUUAGAAACAUAUACUGUAUUGGGAUAGGGUGAUAUCUAUUAUCAAUGAGAACAUUUGUACAUUGUAAUUUGAUAAUACAGUUUUGCAAAAAAGACAAUUUCAAAAAGUUUGUAAACUUGUUAUUUGUAUUUAUAUAUUUGACCUGUGAUAUACAUGUGUGACCUUGACCUUUGAGUCAUGCAUUCCAGUCUUAUUUGUUGUAUAUCUAGGCUUCCCUGUCAUCUUGUUGCACCUUGUAUUUUUAGAUUCUUUUAUUGAAUUAUGGUGAUAAAUUACAUAAAGGCUUGAAAAUUAUGACUUUUUACUGAAGUAUUUGACCUUUGACCCCUAUAUUUGUUAUUGAUUUUUAAAUUUUUCACUAAAAUUUAAAUUGUCACAGGUUUUCUCCAUCAUCCUCUAUCAUAACAUAAAAAUAUUUAGAGAAUAUGUUGAUAAAUGAAAAAAGGUGCUUCAAAAAUGAUAAAAACGUGUAUUUUUUAAGGACAAUUUGACCUUUGACCUUUGAAUGUGGCGUUGACAUCUGUAUGUUUAACCAAAUUAUUGCAUGUUUUGAUUGUUUCCAACAUAGGUUAACUCUUGGUAAAGUUAUUUGAAAAACCAUUGACAAACAAUUUGGUAGCAGUAUUUUACAUAAAAUAUCAAUGUUAAAAAACUGGGUGGGGUAAUUUUACCCCAUAUUUCAUGUUAAAUUCUGUAUUUAAAAAGAAAAUUAACGACUUAGACCUUUACCAUUCAGCAUUGUAUUUUAUAUUUAUUAACUAUGUUUAAUUAAAUUAAAUUUAUAUCUAUGUAUGAAAUAAAUCUAGACAAAUUA